rnacentral:lncRNA from 1 species
AUAUCUGGGAGCAUUUGAUAGGACACCUUACUCUGAGCUCUGAUGGGCAAAUUUUGUUUUUGGGUGAGCCUGAAAGGUGAAGCUAAUGGGGCUUAUGCUUGGCCUACUGAUCCCAGAGGAGAGAAUCAUAGAGAAUUGUGGAAUUGGAGAGCUGCAAAUAGCCUGCCCUCAUUUGUAAGUCACCCCUGAUUCAGGCUACAGAGCUGCAGCUAUUGAUGGCAUCCAUGGAAAUGACUCUGGCCUUGAGGCUCAGCUUCUCACAGAGAAGCGGUUUUUCCCUUCUGCAUCCAGUGCUUGAUGGGAGACUUGACAAAGUGGUGGCAGAGCUGGAGCCUGAGGAAAACCCAACAGAGCUUGCAUUUAUUACAAAAUACUGAAUUGCUAAGUGCUAAAUGAGAUUGCCUCCAUGUCCUGCUCAUUGACUUACAGGAAAAAAAUGCACCCUCAAAUAGCAGGUGGGGUUGGAAUUAGGAGGAAGUGGUUGGAGACUGCACCAAAGAGCAGGGGGCCAACCAUGGUCCACACAAGGAGAUGUGGAAGUGUUUCAUUCUACCCAAUGUUCUUGUGGAGUUAGUUGUUACUUAGCUAAAAAGAAUGUUGGGGAGGACCCGAGUUUGGGUCUUAGUGCUGCCAUUUUAUUAGUUGGGUAACCUUGGGCAAGUUAACAGUUCUGUGCUUCAGUGUCUUCAUCUAUAAAGAGAAAAUAACAAUUUGCAGGGGCACUUAAAGAUAAAAUGAAUGUUUAUGUAAUCUUUCUGGUGCACAGUAAUGCUGAAUUAAUGUCUCUAUUCUUUUUCUUUUUUUUUUUUUUUUAAACAACAAAAAAACCCCUCCUGUCUUUUCUGUUUUUCCUCAAUCAACUUAGAGGUUUAUUUUGCCAAGGUUAAGGACCAUGGCCCAUGACACAGCCUCAGGAGGUUCUGAGAACAUGUGCCCAGGUUGGCUGAGUUAUAGCUUGGCUUUAUACACUUUAGACAGACAGAAGUUACAGGCAAAAAUAUAAAUCAAUAUACAUAAAGCAAAUAUUGGUUUGGCCUGGAAAAAAGGGACAUGAUGGGGGCAGAGGGGGUAGGGGAUUCCAGGUCAUAGGUGGAUUCAAAGAUUUCCUAAUUAGCAAUUGGUUGAAAGACUUACAUGCUGCCUGAAGAGUUGAAGUCAGUUCGAGUUCAGAUAAAGGGGGUUUUGAAAGCCAAGGUUCUUGUCAAGUAUAUGAAACCUCCAAGCAGCAGGCCUCAGAGAGAAUAUAUGGUGAAUGUCUCUGUUCACACCUCAAAAGGCAACAGACUCUCCAGAAAAUAUCUAGUCAUGGAAGGAGAUUCUUUACAGAAUGCAAAUUUCCCCCACAAGAAACAGCUUUGCAGGGCCAUUUCAAAAUAUGUCAAAGAAAUAAAAUACUUUGGUUUCCUUCAGAGCCUACUGUUUGUCCUGUGAUGUUAUACCAGAGGCAGGUUGGAAUUUUGUAUGUCAUUGCUACAAAGAGGCUGUUUUAAGAUCUCCGUUUUCAUGUUAAUAUUGGUCAGUUGUGUCUAAACUCUAAAAGCAGGAGAGUAUAAUGAGGCAUGCCUGAUUCUCAUUUCCUGUCGUGACCUGAACUAGUUUUUCAGGUUAAUUUGGAAUCCCGUUGGCCAAGGAGGGGAGGGUCAUUCAGUCAGAUGGGGAGCUUAGAACUUUAUUUUCGGUUAACAUUCUCCCUCUUCUGGCCAAGAUUUGCCAGAGGCAACAUCAGUGAUCAAACUUUUAUUUUUGUCCCAUAGCUGAACUCAUGUCUUAAUGAUUACUUAUAUUAAUCGCAUGAGACUGGCCCUCUAGAAGCCCAUUCUCUAUCCCACUUAGAAUGGGGCACCAACACUGCUUCUCUAGAUUUCAUAAGCAAUGCUAGCUAGCUUCUGUGCCAAAUUGCCAGUUGUUUCAAGUAAUGGAAAUAGUUAGUAGGUACGUUCUUGGGAAUGGGGAGUCCCCUACGGGUUGGGGGUAGGGAGUGAGGCUGUCAGUUACAUGAAGACAGGGCAGAGGACACAAGGAUACAGGACAUAACAGACACACAGGAAGUGAAUGAAUGCAUUUAAGUGUUUGGUGGCCAAAGUAGGGCAAGGAGAGAACUAAUGAGGGCAAAUAGAAAAGAAAUGGCUUCUGUUUCUGUAUCUUGACUUGCUUCUCAUCAGUUUGUAAAUGGAGGUAGGUUGUAGAAAACACACACACACACACACACACACACACACACGAACACCAAGAGCAAUGACUAAGAAGAAGGAGGGACAGAGUUUUGAGUUUGGAAGAGCAUGCUGGGCACAGAAUUUGAAGUAGUCAAUCAAUUAGCAUUUCACAUUUUGUAAUUUAGAAUCAUACAUACAUAUCUCCUGGUCUAACCCUCAUAGAAUAUAGGAUUUCUCCUGUAUUAGUUUCCUAUUGCUGCUAGAACAAAUUACCACAACUUUUGUGGCUUGAAACAAGACAAAUGUAUCGUCUUACAGUUCUGGAAGUCAGAAGCUGAACAUGGAUCUUAUAGACUAAAAUCAAGGCAUUAACAGAACUGCAUUUCUUCUGGAAGCUCUUUGGGAGAAUCUGUCUCUUUGCCUUUUUCAGCUUCCAGAGGCUGCUCUCAGGGCUUAGCUUGUGGCCCCCUUCCUCCAUCUUCAAAGCAAAUUACUCAAUUUCUGCUUCUAUCAGCCAAUCUCCUACUCUGACUGGUUCUCUACUUCCUUCCCUUAUACAGACCUCUUAUAUGGGCCCGCUCAAAUAAUCCAGGAUAAUCUCCCAUCUCAAGAUUCCUACCCUAAUCAUAUCUGCAAAGUCCAUUUUUUACAUUUAAAGCAAUGCAUUUACAUUUCUUGGUGUUUAAGACACAGACAUAUUUGGGGAGCCAUAACUCAUUCUGUCACACUUCCCUAAAUCACCCUUUCCUGAUGGUUAGGUGCACACCUCUUCCUGAGUACAUUCUGAGGCAGCCCAUUUCAAUGUAAAUGUUAUCUGACUUUCUUUUGCUAGUUAAAUGAAUGACUGAGUGAGUAGAGGAAGCCACACGCUCUUUCUCUUUCUCUUUCUCUUCACUCAUGGGUUGAAAGCGACCAGUAAGAAGUCAGACAAGAAUAAUUAGGAAAGUUUGCUAGGGUUUUUGUCAUUACCUUGAGUCUUGACAGGCAGAUCUCCAAGAGAACAGUAGCUUGGCUACCUACCCCCUAGUCAAAAGGGCCAUGCAGGAAUACAAAUAUACUCUUUUAGCUUCUGAUGAAAGAACUGGGCAUCAUUAUCCCUAAGGACAACAUUGAUUAAUUGUAAUGUAUGCAUAACUGCUUAGCCUAUGUACAAAUUCUUCCACUGUCAUUGCAGGGUACAAUACCAACAUUGCCUUGAGCCAGUUCAGAUAAACACCAAUAAGAAGUAAUGUAUUUCUUCAUUUACUUACUGCGGAAUCAGUGGGUAGCCUCUUUCAACCCAAGGCUAUCCAUUUUCAAAGGGGAAAUGGUACAAUAAAUGGAGGAUCCCCAUGGCUCAGACAAAGACUGUGUUCUUCUUCUUGAUUAUUUUUGUUAUAGAGUUAUGACUAUUCAAACAAUUCUAGAAAGCUCUUUCCUGUUGGCAAUAUCUCCAGGUAGCUCUCUCAUUAAGCCCAUUCAGUUCAGUGCUCUGAUGUGUAAGACAUCAUACAGUAUAAAAUUGUCCCAUGCAAAAUCUACUUUCCCCUAAAUAUGUAUUGUUGACUUGGCUAAAAACUUCUCAUCAGACAGUGAACAGUGAAAAAUACUUUACUCUUGCCAUCUGCCCAAUAAACAGAAUCACACAGUGUGCUCAACUCCUCUAAGUGAUCAUUUAAGGUGACUCCUGCUAUUAACACAUAUAGCCGCUGGGCAUACUGACUCCACCCCCUGUUCUUGCUGCUCUGGCUGUGGCACCCCCCUAUACCCGCUUUAGUUUGAUGGUCCUUUUAUGCCCAUUCUUCCCAGUUCCCAACAUUUUAUUAAUCAUUAUGUUUUAAAAGAAAUCAGUUUCAUUGGGUUAUUAUUUACAUACAAAUGCAUAUAUCAGUGUAAACAUCACUGCAAUUAAGAUGCGGAAUAUUUCCAUUCCUAUAAAAAGUUCCCUCCUCCGCUUUUGCAAUUAAUUAUUUGCUACCCUCCUGCCCCAAGAAGUCUUCUGUUACUAUAGAUUAGUUUCCCUUUUCUAGAAUUUCAUAUAGAUGGAAUCAUACAGUAUAUAUUAUUUUGUGUAGGCUUUUGUUUUAAAAUUUAGCAUCAUGUUUUUGAAAUUCAUUCAUAUGGUAUAUAUCAAUCGUUUCUUCUCUUUUAUUGCUUAGAAGUGUUCCAUGGUAUGCAUUUAACACAUUUUGUGUGUCUGUUCACUGGUUAUUGCCUAUUUAGGUUGUUUCUUGUUUUGGGCUGCAAUGAAUGAAGUUACUGUGAAUAUUUGUAUACACAACCCUAUGGAUAUAUCGUUUCAUUUUUAAUUUUUUUGAGUAAAUUCUGAGGAGUGGAAUUGCUAGGCCAUAGAUAACUAUGCAAGUAACUUUAUAAGAAAUGGACAAAGUGUUUUCCAAAGUAGCUAUACCAUUCUAUAUUCCUACAAAUUUUGUCUGAGAGUUCCAGUUAUACCACAUGCUGGGCAGCAGUUGGUAUUAUAAUCUUUUAAAUUUUAACCAUUCAAAUGGGUGUGCAGUAAGAUUUCAUUGUGGCUUUAAUUUCUCAUUUUCCAUAACUAAUCAUUUUGAGCACCUUUUCAUGUGUUUAUUGCUAUCCACGUUUCUUCUUUUGUGAAGCAUCUCUUAGCAUUUUUUGCCCAUUUUUAAAUGGAGUUGUCUUAUUGAAUUGUAAGAUUUCUUUAUAUAUUCUGUGUACAAGCCUGUUAUUAGAUAUAUGCAUUGUAUUUGUUUUAUACCAGUCUGUAGAUUGACUUUUUAUUUUCUUAACAUUGAUUUUUAAUUUUGCUGAUGUCUAAUGUAUUAGUUUCCUUCUUAUUGCUACUGUAACAAAUUACCACAAAUUUAGUGGCUUAAAACAACACAAUUUGUCUUAAAGGUCUAGUGGUCAGAAGACCAAUCUAAGUUGGCAGGGCUGCAUUCGUUCUGGAGACUCCAGGGGAGAAUCCAUUGCCUUGCCUUUUCCCACCGCUAAUGGUUGCCUGCAUUCCUUCCCUCAAGGUGCCACAGCACUCUGACCUUGGUUUCUUUUGUCAAAGGUGCCUCCUCUGACUCUGACUUCCUGCCGCCCUCUUUCAAGGACUCUUGUGAUUACAUUAGGCCUUCCCAGAUAACCCAUAGUAAUCUCCCUAUUUCAACAUCCUUAACACAAUUACAUCUGCCAAGUCCCUUUUGCCAUGUAAGGUAACCCAUUCACAGGUUCUGGAGACAGGAUGUGGACACUUUUGGGGGAUCAUUAUUCAGUCUACUGCAUGGAAUUUACAAUUCUUUUUCUUUUAGGGUUCAUGAUUUUUGCAUCUUACCUAGAAAAUUUUGCCCUAUCCCAAGAUCAUAAAAAUUUUCUUCUAUAUUAUGAAAGUUUUAUACCUUUAGCUAUUAUAUGUAGGUAUGCAAUCUACUUCAAAUUAAUUUUUUGUAUGGUUUUGAGGUAAGAGUCAGCUUUCAUUUUUUUUUUUUUAAGUUUCCAGUUUCUCCAGCAUCAAUGUUGAAAAGACUAUCCUGUUGAAUUACCUUGACAUGUUUUUUGAAAAUCAAUUGAUACUUAACACGUGUAUUGAUUUCUAUUCUCUCUGUUCUGAUUUUUUCUGAAAGCAAAACUGAUUCAAUCCUUGGCUUAGAAUCAUUGAAUAGUUUCUAAUAUCCUAUUUUUUUAAACAUGAUUUACAAGACCCUUCAUUAUAUGACCCUUUCUUCUCUUUCCAACGAUAUCUUUCACCCUCAAUUGUACUGACCACCUUCUAGUUUCUUGAAUACACCAUACUCUUUUAACUCCUCUGCACACACUUCUCCCUCUGCCUUGAACACCCUUUCCUUCCUCUUUGCCUCACUUUUCUCUUCUCAUUCAUUAAGCGACCAUCACUUUCCCCAGAAAACUUUUUCUGACUUCUUUCUUUAUGCUAUCAGAGCAGCUAACACACUGAAUUCCAGCUGCCACUAGAGAUACCUGUAUCCCCUCUACAUAUGGUUUUCUGGGGCAGGUGGGUUGGGGUGAAGACCAUGUGUUACCCAUUUAUAUCUCCUAGCACCCAGCACAUUGAUUUGUUAAAUGAAUAAUGAUGAACCUUCUGUCACACAUAUGGGGCUCGCCUCACAAUGGAAUUGCUGAUUGAUAUUCACAGCAACUACACUCAACUAUGAAGAAUGGACUGGAUGAAGAAAAUGGAAAAGAGCCAAUUUCUUAUUUAGGCAAAGAGGGAAUGAAGUAUUGAGACACAAAGGAAUAUUCUAAUAGAUAUACCAGAGUUUUGGUAAAUAAAUUUUACUAUUUUAUAUGAUAACCCUUAACUGGGGAAUAGGUAAUCUGAUUAAUAAAAUAUUCCGGUUAAUAAAGAUCCUUGUAUACAUUUUCAAUUUAAUAAGGGUAAAGGAGGAAAAAGAACAAAUGUUUACGUAGUACAUUCAACAAACUUUGUACUGAACUAUGCACUUUAUAAAUGUAAUCUCAUGAAACUCCCAAAACAACUCUGGGAUGUUAGGAUGAUUAUGUUAAUGCCCAGAGAGGUAAUAUAAAUAACCAUACAGUUAGUGGAGAAGACUUAGGUUUGAAACCUAGAGAUAUCUUCUUCUAGAGUCUGCACCUAUUCUAUUCCCUAGGAAAAUGACUACAUUUUCUUACCACUAAAGCUAAUCCCCAGUUCCUCUGAUAAUUCAUAAGGAAUCAAUGAUGUUGUAAUGACUUAGGGAAUUAUUGAACACAAGUUGCUAUUUUACUUGAAAGGGGUAGAUAUAUUUAAAAAGGUUUCCCAACUUUCCAAUAUAUUUUUUGAUUAUGUGGUAUCCCGUUAACAUAGACUUUGUCUUGGCAGUUGUUGGAAUUUUAGGUUGGCUCUAAGAUGCCAUUAUCCACAGGGAUUCCAGAAAAGUGCCAAAUUAGCCCCAAACUGUGGUCAUCCCUUCAACAAAAUUCUCCCAAAUGGUACAUAAAACAGGAAGUAUAACUCAGUGGAAACAGGAGGUAACUUUAUUGUUAGCUACGGCCAUAACUCUCAGGCAGAACUCAGGGAAGGAUGGCCUAGUGGGGCCUUAACAGGGUUGGGAAAUUCCUCUACCUUAUAUUCUUUGUUUUUAGUCCUUAACAUUUGUUUUUAAAUCCACUGGGAUAUAGCCCAGUGAGGCUUGUUGCAGUGUUUUUUAGGGGAAGAAAUCAUCAGAGCAUCAGGGAAGUCUAUGCCACAGCCCCAUCUGAUAGGUUCCUUUUCCUUGCUGCUCUGAACAUGGGUGACCAUUUCAACUGAAGAAACAAUGCCUCUAGUGUUACUCCCCAAAGUUUCUAAAAUUGAUCAAAAGAAGACAUUAAUUAUUUCCAAGGCCACAUUGGUUGAAAUUUAUUUUAGUAUUUCCCGUCUCAAAUUAUGCUCUGCUUCAGUGUCCUGCCUAGGUUAGCAAAGAGGUUUAUAUAUUAGGGACACAUGAUAGGAUUCCCAAAAUAAGAGGAUGCCAAACAGAAAACUUCCCCAAAUUGGAACAAAACAUAAUUCUCUACCUUUUGUUGCUAAAAGCAAUUAAAACUGCCAAAUAAAAAUAUUCUUUUUUAUUGGAGAAAUUACUAAGGAAAUAACCUCUCGACCUCUCAUUCAUCUUCCUUUUUGUUUUUUAUUUUUUGAGACCGGGUCUAUGUCAUGCAGACUGGAGUGCGGUGGCACGAUCUGGGCUUCUUGUAACCUCCACAUCCUGGGCUUAAGCAAUCCUCCUACCUCAGCCUGCUGAAUAGCUGGGACUACAGGUGUGAGCCAACAUGCCUGGCUAAUUUUUGUAGAGACUGGGUUUCACCAUGUUGCCCAGGCUAGUCUCAAACUCCUGGGCUCAAGCAAUCCAACCACCUUGGCCUCCCAAAGUGCUGGGAUUACAGGUGUGAGCCACCAUGCCCUGCCAUUAAUUUUCAAUAAAAGACAUGUGAGUAUCUAUGGGGGGCUUGGAGUCCCAGGUAGAGUUUGGUUCAUCUUCCAAUGAAGCUGGUGUUGUCUUACAGCAUUUCUAUAUUUGGAUCAACCCAACAAUUAGUGUCUCAGAUGUUUUACUUUCCCAAAUCAUGAAGUGUCAAAUAAAACUGUGACCAUGAUUUCUAUGUUGAUGAUACUGACUGGUCUUCUAAGAAAUGUAGGAAUAAUUUACAACAUAUAAAGGAACUUUGAGAGAAAGGCAGGAGUUUAAGAAAUAUAAGAAACUUGAGAAGAGAUAGAUUUGUAUUACACAAGUUUUAGGGGAUUGAGGAAGCCAAAAGAGCACAAUAACUUAUCUGGCAAAUCAGAGAAAAGGCAGCUGCUAGAAGGGAUUUUGUCUAGGCAGAUGUGGAGUCUGAAUGCAGUGAACAAAGUGAUGCUGGGCAGAAUUCAGAAGAGAAUAAACCAAAAUUUAGGUGCCUUGAAGAACAAUUUUUUUUUAAAUGGGGAAGUAUUGUUUUUGGCUAUAAAUGCCAGACUACCCUGAUUUGAACUGUUUUAAAUAUGAAGAGAAUUUAUUGUCUCAAGAAUUGGAAGUACAGAGGUAGAAGAUGGGGUGGGCCCAAGAACAGUACAAUCUUGAGCUCAUUGCCAUUGUCAAGGACCUGGGAUCUUAUCUGCCUCCACUCUGCUGCCUCGGUGUGGGUACCAUCCUAAGGGUGGAUCCCCUGUGGUAGCAAGAUGGAUGCAGGUGGCAACAGGAGCUGUUUUCUUCCUUGUUUAUGUCCAGUAGAAGAGAAAGAGGGAAGCCUUUUCCCUAAGCAGGGAAUAUAAUUCAUUCCUUUUCAUCUGAUUGGACAGAUUAUAUGCUCAUCUAUUAGUCAAAAAUCAUCCCUGGGUCAUGUGAUAAUUGGCACAUUGACUGAUGUGUAAUAGUCUCUGAAGGUAAAAAUGGGGUAGAUAUCUGAACAGGAAUUGAAUUCUGUUGAGGAUGGGGGAGGAGAGUCUAUAUGUUGGAUAUACAACUGUAUUAGUUCAUUUUCAUGGUGCUGAUAAAGGCAUACCAAAGACCGGGCAACUUACAAAGGAAAGAGGCUUAAUGGAGAACUCACAGUUUCACAUGGCUAGGGAAGCCUCACAAUCAUGGUGGAAGGCAAGAAGGAGCAAGUCACAUCUUACAUGGAUGGUGGCAGGUAAAGAGAGAGCUUGUGCAGAGAAACUCCUGUUUUUAAAACCUUCAGAUCGUGUGAGACCCUUGCAUUUUCACAAGAACAGCAUGUUAAAGACCUGCCUGCAUGAUUUGAUCAUCUCUCCUUGGGUACCUCCCACAACAUGUAGGAAUUAUGGGAGCUACAAGAUGAGAUUUGGAUGGGGACACAGAGCCAAAUCAUAUCAUUCCACCCCGACCUCUCCCAAAUCUCAUAUCUUCACAUUUCAAAACCAAUCAUGCCUUCCCAAUAGUCUCCCAAGGUCUCAGCUCAUUUCAGUGUUAACUCAAACGUCCACAGUCAAAAGUCUCAUCUGAGACAAGGCAAGUCCCUUCUGCCUAUGAGCCUGUAAAAUCAAAGCAGGUUAGUUACUUACUAGAUAGAAUGGAGGGUACAGGCAUUAGGUAAAUACAGCCAUUCCAAAUGGGAGAAAUUGGCCAAAACAAAGGGGCUACAGGCCCCAUGCAAGUCUGAAAUCCAGCAGGGCUGUCAAAUCUUAAAGCUCCAAAAUGUUCUCCUUUGACUCUGUCUCACAUCCAGGUCAUGUGAGAUGUAAGAGGUAGGUUCCAAUAGUCUUGGGCAGCUCUGUCCCUGUGGCUUUGCAGGGUAUAGCCCCUCUUCUGGCUGCUUUCAUGGGCCGGCAUUGAGUGUCUGGCUUUUCCAGGCACACAAUGUAAGCAGUCAGUGGAUCUACUGUUCUGGGGUCUGGAAGAUGGUGGCUCUCUUCUCACAGCUCCACUAGAUGGUGCCCCAGUAGGGACUCUGUGUGGGGGCUCUGACCCCACAUUUCCCUUUUGCACUGACCUAGCAGAGGUUCUCCACGAGGGCCCUGCCCCUGCAGCAAACUUCUGCCUGGGUAUCCAGAUGUUUCCAUACAUCCUCUGAAAUCUAGGCAGAGGUUCUCAAACCCCAGUUCUUGACUUGUGUGCACUUGCAGGCCCAACACCAUGUGGAAGCUGCCAAGGCUUGGGGCUUCCACCCUCUGAGGCCAUGGCCUGAGCUCUGCAAUGAACCCUUUCAGCUACAGCUGUAGCAGCUGGAACACAGGGCACCAAGUCCCUAGGCUGCAAACAGCACAAGGACCAAGGGCUCAGCCCAUGAAGCCACUUUUUCCUCCUAGGCCUCCAGGCCUGUGAUGAGAGGGGCUGCUGUGAAGACUUCUGACAUGCUCUGGAGACAUUUCCCCAUUGUCCUAGGGAUUAACAUUCAGCUCCUUGUUACAUAUGCAAAUUUCUGCAGCUGGCUUGAAUUUCUCCUCAGAAAAUGGGAUUUUCUUUUCUAUCACAUUGUCAGGAUGCAAAUUUUCCAAACAUUUAUGUUGUUUCCCUUAUAAAACUCAAUGUCUUUAAUAGCACCCAAGUCACCUCUUGAAUGCUUUGCUGCUUAACAAUUUAUUCUGCCAGAUACCCUAAAUCAUCCCUCUCAAGUUCAAAGUUCCACAAAUCUGUAGGACGGGGCAAAAUGCUGCCAGUCUUUUUGCUAAAACAUAACAAGAGUCACCUUUACUCCAGUUCCCAACAAGUUUCUCAUCUCCAUCUGAGACCACCUCAGGCUGGAUUUCAUUGUCCAUAUCAUUAUCAGCAUUUUGGUCAAAGCCAUUCAACAACUCUCUAGGGAGUUCCAAACUUUCCCACAUUUUCCUGUCUUCUUCUGACCCCUCCAACCUGUUCCAACCCCUGCCUGUUACCCAGUUCCAAAGCCACUUCCACAUUUUUGGAUAUCUUUUCAGCAGUGCCCCACUCUACUGGUACCAAUUUACUGUAUUAGUUCAUUUUCAUGCUGCUGAUAAAGACAUACCUGAGACUAGACAAUUUACAAAGGAAACAGGUUUAAUGGAAAACUCACAGUUCCACAUGGCUGGAGAAGCCUCACAAUCAUGGUGGAAGGCAAGGAGGAGCAAGACACAUCUUACAUAGAUGGCGGCAGGCAAAGACAGAAAGGAGGGAGCUUGUGUAGAGAAAUUCCUGUUUAUAAAACCAUCAGAUCUUGUGAGACCCAUUUCCUAUCAUGAGAACAGCAUGGGAAAGACCUGCCUCCAUGAUUCAAUUACCUCCCACUGGGUCCCUCCCACAAUACAUGGGAAUUCAAGAUGAGAUUUGGGUGGGGACACAGCCAAACCAUAUCAACAACAAACAACAUUACUACAGAGUCCAACAAUGAUAGACUGAGUCUGCAGAUGUCAAGUUCAAGAGUUCUCAAAAGAAGCUGGGGUGAAACAGAAUAAUUGGAUACCCCAUUUAGGGCCAAGGGCACUCACCAGAGCGAAUGUCUCUGGGGCCUGCUCUGAGAAACAUGAGAACUAGGUAAGUUUUUACCCACCCACAUUAUGAUUAGAGAGGGAUGGAUCCAAAUGUAUAAAUCUGAAUGUCAGGUGAAGGGUGGUAGAGAAUAAAUGACAAGGUUAGAAUCCAGGAGGGUGGGAACAGGUUAGAGUCUGUGGUGAGAGAUGAGUUAGUGGGAUUGGUCGAGCACCCUGGAUAAAAUUCAUGAAGGUUUUGGAGGCCUGUUUCCCAUGGUGUUGGCAAUGUGGGUCAGGCCUGAAAAUGUCAAGAUCACAUUAGGUUAGAGCAUUGGUUCUCAUACUUUCAUAUGCAUUAGAAUCACCUCAGGGCUUGUUAAACUAAAUUGUUGGGCCCCAGUCCCAGGGUUUCUGCUUCAGUAGAUCUGGGGUAGGGUUUGAAAAUUUGCAUUUCUAACAAAGUUUCCAGGUGCUGCUAGUCUGGGGACCUCACUUUGAGAACCACUGGAUUAGAGAAACAGCUUGCCAAGGGCUGUUAAACUGGUGUUUUUCAAUGUAUGGUGUGAGGGCCACCUGCUAAGAAUCACUGGUGGAGGCUGUUCAAGAUGCUAAUCUUCUAAGCUCUAUCCCCAGAGGUUUGUGUUAGGGGCCUUGGAGAAGAACCUGCAAAUCUACUUUUUUUUUAAAACAAGUUCUCAAGAUGAUUCUUAUGUUGCUAUGGUUUGUGAACCACUCUAAGUCAUGUGAAGCUCAUUUAAACCAUCACUUAUCUCUGUGUGCUUUGUGUAGUAAGCAGGCUACUGCAGUGACUCAUCACCUUUUGUGGCUGCCACAGUGGCAUAGAAUCAAGCACUGGGGUUUUGGGAGAUUGACAGAGAGGGGUUCAGAUCCUGUGUGUGCCACAUUCUAUUUGGGGGAUCUUGGACAAAGAGAUUUAAUCAUUCUGGGCUUCAAGUUCAUAAUCUGAAAGAUGGAAUAAUGAGACAAGUGUUAUGUAAUAGUCACCUAACAUCAUGUCUGAUUUUUCUUUUUUAAUUUACAAAGGGAAGAGGUUUAAUUGACUCACAGUUCCACGUGGCUGAGGAGGCCUCACAAUCAUGGCAGAAGGCAAAGGAGGAGCAAAGUCACGUCUUACCUGGCAGCAGGCAAGAGGAUGUCUGAUUCUUAGUAAGCCCUCAAUAAGCAGUAGCUCCUCUAUGAUUUCUUCAUAUUCUUAUUUCCAGCAGUAUGAUAUGUAUGAUAUGCCAGUUGACCCACUGAACAGGCAUCUUGCCAGAGGCAGUUUCAUAUGCUGCUUGACUUGAAUCAAGAGAAGGCAUCAGAGGAACACUAUCACAGAAAAAGAUUAAAAAGAACUUUGGGACUUAAAAGGCAGAAGGAGAAAAACUAUUCUCUGGAUAGUGCUGGUGAAAAGUGAGCAGACAGUGAGAUAUCAUUGGAGCUUGUCUUCUGCAUGUUUGGUUGUAACUCCUGUCUUCAUUCAUAAUGCCUCACAUCUCCUCCUGACACAUGGCCGGGACUCUGUUUGUGAUGAAUGUUUGUACACAUGGAGGAGGGAGGUACAUAUGCUGUACAUGCUUAGAGGUAGAUACUUACAGGGAGCAGAAGAAGUGUGGGUGGUCAGCCAAAAUGAGGAAAAUACUUCUGAAACUUAAAACAGACCAUGAAAUCAAAUAAAGCCUGGAAAUAUUGUAAGUGUGGUCCCCAAAUUUAGCACCACUGUGUUGACUUAUUUUACUGCUCUGCGUCUAUCUGGUCACACACAUAAACAGGAUAACUUUUUUUUUCUGAGUCUCUGCAGCACAAGGCCAAGUAGAUGGACUGUGGUAAAGAGAGUAAGUGAAUGUUUUGGAAUUAUCUAUUCAAUUGAACUUUCUCAAAUGAUCCAAAUAGCUUCUCAAGAGCCAUUAUUUUAUCUUGUCCUUUACAUUUUCUAUGAGUGUUUUCAUGUCAAAAUGCACUUGGAAGCUAAAGGACAAGGUAUUCUGCUACUUUUGGCCUUAAGAACCCUUUCUAACUUUUGUCUGCAACUGUUCAUGCUGAGGUUAUUACGUGUUCAAUAUAUUCUCUUUAUGAAUCCUGAAUAUUCAUAUUUCCAAAUAAACGUGAGACAAUGGGCCUAAAAUUCAAAAGGAAGACAAAACAAAAGAAUUUCAAGCUUCUACUUUGUAUUUUUAUACUAUGGCAUUUCUCAUGGGUAGCAAGUUCCAAAUCAUAGUAUUUUCAAACUCGAAGGGAAUUAAAACGAGCAAACUAUGGCUCAGAACAUUUAAGUCACAUCCUAGUGUUGCAUAUUUAGUUGGAGUAAGAAACCAGAUCUCAUGGUUUCUAUUUCAGUGCUCUUUCUAUUCCACCAAGCUCACACUCCCACCCCUUGGAUCCAUUGCUACUAAAAUCCUGAAAGGAUUCAGAAAGGCAUACUUGAGAUUAUAACACUAUGUCUGUAAAACCUAAUUCAAAUCGAUUAAACUUCCAUGGAUUUCUAAGCUAUUCUAUAAGCUGGGGGAUUCGUUUAUUGGAAUAACAUCUUCAUUUAGGACCACCCUUAUUCUCCGCCGUGUGACAGGAUAACUAAGAUCCCUCAGGGAAGUCUUUCUUUCCUGAACUUAUUGAUGCCUAAUGAUGAUCUGUUGGAGACCCUGCCUUUCCCGGGUCAAAGGCAGACAUUAGGGCUCAUUUUCCCCAGUGUCUUUGAUACUUUUCAAACUCUUGAGCUAAAGGAUAAAACUAAACCAGCCGUUUCCAAGGACACAUUUUUAAAAAUUACUUAAAAUUUUGGUUUUUCUUGGUUCAUAAACUUAGUUUUACUCUUAAAUAAAUGUUGUCAAUACAAUACAUGCACAGUUACAAAUAUCACCCAAGGAUUCUAAUGAAAAGUGGCCGUUUCUGCCCUACUUCUCCCACAUCAGAGUAGACCGCUUUUAACUCUUUUUACCCUCUGUUCUAAUAUUAAUUUCAACAUAUUGUAAUUACUUGAAUCCAAAGUAUUAGACAUUUUCUAUUGACUUCCUUUUAUCACAGCUGAUGAUUUAACUCUCUACCACUUCCUCCAAUUUUUUCUUUUUCUUUUCUUUUGAAACAGGGUCUCACUCUAUUGCCCAGGCUGGAGUGCAGUGUCAUGAUCAUAGCUCACUGCAGCCUCAAACUCCUGGGUUCAAGGUAUCCCCCUGCCUCAGCCUCCCAAAGUGCUGAGAUUACAGAUGCAUUGGCCGAAAUUUAUUCCCUUCCUUUGUCUACUAUAAUUAAUUAGGCCACAAUCUUACUGCAACAGCAACAAAAUAUCAGUCCUUACAUGAUUAUGUAGAAAAUAUAUUUUACUGAAUAGCUUGCUAAUAUACUAUGAUUCCCUUUAUUAUGCUCGAUAGUCUCUUUUUUACUACUUAAAAACUUUUUUUGGAAUCAAAAACUGCUUUAUGUGUUUUAGCUCCUUAGUCUCCUAUAGACCUAUUCUUAUCUUUUCCAAAUGCUCCAUUAGGUCUGCUCUACACAGUUAAGAAGCUUUCCCCAAAUGGUUUAAUCAUGUCUGAUGAUCUGUCAAUUAUUCCUGCCCUCACUGCCGCGUCGCUUUACUGUGGCGCAUUGAUCCUUCCGCUCCAGUCUGCUUUCCUCCAGGGCUGUUGCACACGGUCAUCUUUGGACCACACCAUUUUUAUGUUCAGGACCUCUCCUCUGCUUGGUCAUGUGCUUUCUUCUUCCUUAUUUUAGUCCUUUAUUUUUCUGGAUCAAUGCUUCAUAAAUUAAAACUUAAAUUUAAAAAGAUUUGAAAAAUUUAAAAACCCUAAAGUGUCUGGGAGAAGAAUAUAAUGAAUCCCUACAUAUUCAUACUUAUCACCCAGAUUCAACAGUUAUCAUGUUUCCACAUUUAUUGCAUUUGUCUUUUUCUUUUUCUUCUACCCUUCUUUCUUUUCUCCCCUCCCUCUCCACUUCCGUUUCCCUCCCUCCUUCCUCUUGCCCUCCCCGACCCUUCUGUUCCACUCUCAUCACCUCUCCCCGUCCCUAGUCCCUCUUCUUUCCUCUUCUUUUUACCUGCUUGCUAAAGUGUUAUAAAGCAAACCCCAGUGUUUCAAGCCAGGACACUGGAAGGGCUCUCCCUGAGAGAGAGACUACAUUCAAUACAGGCAGUGAAAGAGAGGCUAUGAUGACAUUAUGUGAGUCGCUGACUCUGACUGCACUGAAAGAUUUAUCCUAGACCUUUUAGUUAUAUGAACAAACACUUGUGCUUUGAAGGGACAUUAAGACAAGUCUGCCAGGAGUGAAAUUUUCCAGCUGACUGGCAGUUUGGAAAAUGAUUUUUAUAACUUUUUUGAGCAAAAUCACAGUAUCUUAGAUUAAUUACCAAAUAAACUUUUAUUUAUCCUAUUGUUAUCCAAUAGAUGAAAUGCCCAUAAUAUUCGGGUAUCAAUACUUAAAAAUAGAAAAUAAUGUGAUGUUUAGCUCUUUUAAAAAUAUGCCUCCUAUACAAUACCAAUAUAAAGUUAGGAUUUUACAUUCCUAGUAAAUCUCUUUUGUUUCAUUAGGAUUUGAACAAACGUGACAAUAUUGGCAAAGUGGUUUCUGUCUAUUAAUGACUCAUUAUAUUGCUCAGUUAACUUUAAUCCAAUAGAGUGGAUGUAGCAAUUUUUGUACAACAAAUCAGUAGCUGAUGGAACAGUUCAUAACUAGAAAUUUUGUCCAUGAAUUUACAUGUCGGCCUUCAUGCAAUUAUAAAUUCUUUAUUAGUAUUUUGAUUUAGGUAUUCUUAUCUUCAUUAUUGAAAACAUGACUAUUUUUAUAACUGAAUAUUCUGAAUUGCAUUAAAAGAAUAACUGAGAUCAAUUUGUUGUAAAUAAUUCAGAAACGCUGACAGAAAUCUCUGCCUGAUUACUUUCUUAUGUAUGGCUGUAUUCUCUAUGGUGUCUUUUGCUUUUGUACAGUACACGAAUCCCAGAAACUUGUAGCUUUCUGAAUAAAUAACUUGGUUUACAGCCCUGUUUUCUCCUGUUAAAUGUUUGCUCUGUUCCCAGAAGAUAAGGAAAUUAAGUUUAUUAUGAACAAUUUAUCAAUGUAUUUCUAAUAAAGUCUUCCCAUUAAUCUUAUUUAUACUGAACUUUACAUGUUUUUAGUAAUCAACUUCUGAAAAGAUAAGGAAAAAAGUUUUGAGUAGUAGAGAUCAGUGAACUUAUUCAUGUAAAUCUUUAUUAAUAUACAUAUUAAAGUGAUAUGAAGAUGAGUAAAAUGCUUCCCCUUAAUGAAAAAGAAAUACGUGAUUAUAGCUUAAUUUUAGACUCAUUUCCACUUUUACUAGUAGUUUGGGUGAAAAUAUUUAAGUUGUAAUUUUAACGAUGGCAAUAAUAAUUUUUAAUUCACAGGCAUUUUGACAAUAUCCUUAUUGCCCAUUUUACUAGUCUCCUAAAUCUGGUUGUGGCAGAUUAUAUUUUCCAAAGAGAUGCUAGGGAUAUAUCCCAUCCCCCACGUGCUUCUUAAAAUAAGAUACUCCUCCCACAAAGAGAUGGGGAUCUGUGUUCUUUCCCCUUGAAUUUUUGUUAAGGGGCCUGUGACUGCUGCUUGUACUAACAGGGUACAGGAGAAGUGAUGCUAUAGGAUUUCUGAGGCCAUAAAGAGGAUGCAGCUCAUGGAUGAGUCACUCUCUUGGCAUAGGAACCUUGGAAGUCCUAAACUGUCAUGGAAGACACACAGCUGAAGUGAUCUUGCUGGAGAGACCAUGCGGAGAGACAACAUGGAGACAGAGAAACAUGUGGGAGGAUCCUCAGCUGCUCUGGCCACCAGAUGCCUCAGUCUCUCUGGGCCCAGGUACCAGACAUGUGAAUGAGCCACCUUCUGCCUAAAACCGUGUAAGAAAGUCUCAGGGAGAAGUGCCCCGCUGGAGCCUGUCAAAUCCCAGCCCAUGAGAGAACACGACACAUUGUAGUUGUUAUUUUAAGGCACUAAGUUUUGGGGUAUUGUGAUUUAUAAUAAGAAAUAUAUAUUUGGUUUCUGCUUCCAGUUCCUGAGACAGCUUCUAAUAUCCUUGGAGAUGGGGUGCUAGGAGAACCUUUUCUUUUAAUAUUUGAGUUAGAGCUCAAAUAUUCUGAGACAGGUUUCCCAAAUUUUUUGUAAUUUCCUGAGUGAUAGGAGCAUCUGACACUGAGCUCUAAAUCUCUUGGUGUUUCCUGAGUGAAAGGUACAUCUUUUUUUCUAAUGAGGUGACUCUUCAUGGGAUCCUGGAGAGCCUUGGUUGGGGACUGGUUGCCACGGGAACCAACCAUGUGAUUAGAGGGUUGGAACUUCCAGCCCCACCACCGGACCUCCAGGGAGGGGAGAGGAGCUGAAGGCUGAAUUGAUCACCAAUGGCCAAUGGUGUAAUCAUUUAUGACUACGUAAUACAGCUUCCAUAAAAGUUCAAAAAACAGGGUUUGGGGAGCUUCCAGAUAGCUGAACACAUGAAGGUGCCUGGAGGAUGGUGUCCAGAGAGGGCAUAGAAGCGCCACAACCCUUCCCACAUACAUUGACCUAUGCUUCUCUUCCAUCUGGAUGCUCAUCUGUAUCAUUUAUCAUAUUUUUAAUUAAUAUAAUAAACCAGAAAGUGUGUUUUGCUGAAUUCUGUGAGCCAUUCUAGCAAAUUGAAGAAGGGGGUUUUGGGAACGUUGAUGUAUAUCUAGUUUGUCGGAAGUGUAGGUGACAACCUACUACUUGCAAUUGGCAUCUGAAGUUGGGGAAAUCUUGUGGGACUGAGCCCUUAACCUGUGGGAUCUGACUCUAACUCCAAGGAGAUAGUGUCAGAAUUGAGUUAAAUUAUAGGACACCCAAUUGGUGUCUGAUGGAGAAUUGCUUGGUGUGUGGGGAACCCCCGACACAUCUGGUGUCAGAAGUGAAGUGGGAUGUGUUUAGUGUUAACGUAGAAGGAAAAGCACUUUUUAUUUAUACAUAGUCACAGUAACUGGUAUGGUGGCCCAUCUCCAUGGUUCCCUGAUUUAGAGAACAGCACCAUCAUUCAUAUGACAACCCCCAAAUUUUUACAUCACUUUAUUUCAGACUUCUCUGAGAUCCAGAUGGGAAGUUCAAAUUGCCUAUGUAAAUUUCCACUCUCUCAGAUGUACAUAUUGGGAGGAACUGCAAAUCAUAUUGCAAUAGACAAGGAUGUGUGCUAUCCUUUUAAGAAGGGACCCAAUAGUAGGCAACAACCAUGUAAUCUACCAUAAUCACCAAAGCUGUAUUUCUCCAUUAAUACAAUAAGAAGAUCAAGGUUUUCUCUAUAUUUAUAUCCAAGUGGUGACAUAAAAAAAGGACUAGCCACCACCACACUGGUGGCUCACUCCUGUAAUCCCAGCACUUUGGGAGGCUGAAGCAGGAGGAUCUCUGGAGCCCAGGAGUUUGAGACCAGUCUGGGCAAUAAGUGAGACCUCGACUCUAAAAAAUUAAAAAAUUAGCUAGGCAUGGUGAUAUGUGCCUGUGGUCCUAGCUACUUGACUUGUGAGGGGGAGGUGGGAGGAUCCCUUGAGCCUGGGAGAUAGAGGUUGCAGUGAGCUGAGAUCUUGCUAUCGCACUCUAGCCUGGGCAACAAAGCAAGACCCUGUCAAAUUAAAAAAAAGAAGAAGAAGAAAAGGUCUUCACAGAAACCCAACAAAUUAUUAACAGUUCAAUCCUCGUUCGGUGUGGGGGUAAAAAUGUAAGAGGUGAAGGAAGAGUCUAGCACUUCUGAAGCCUCUGUAGUGUUUGAAUCUUUUACAGUAAGGCUUCAAAUAUCUGAGGGAGACUGAGGCUGAGAGCUGCUACAUGUCAGAUUCAAGUGAGUUAGCCACCAAAGUCACAAACCUGUACCUAAUUCAGAAUCUUAUGUAAUCUAUUUUGCUUGGCACCUGAUUUGCCCAUCGACCUGUAUGUGUCCCACAUAUGAGCACGUACAAAGAAAGAUGACAAUAUGGAGUGUAUUUCUGACUCUUUUCUUAUAAUUCUAGGCUCCACAUAUGAGGUCAUAGUUACUUAUUGUUGCUUUACUGCAUCUUCUUGUCCUUCAGAUUACGACAAAGCGCUGAUGCCA